rnacentral:rRNA from 1 species
CCUACGGGAGGCAGCAGUGAGGAAUAUUGGUCAAUGGGCGCGAGCCUGAACCAGCCAAGUAGCGUGAAGGAUGACUGCCCUACGGGUUGUAAACUUCUUUUAUAAAGGAAUAAAGUGAGGCACGUGUGCCUUUUUGUAUGUACUUUAUGAAUAAGGAUAGGCUAACUCCGUUCCAGCAGCCGCGGUAAUACGGAGGAUCCGAGCGUUAUCCGGAUUUAUUGGGUUUAAAGGGAGCGUAGAUGGGUUGUUAAGUCAGUUGUAUAAGUCUGCGGCUCAAACGUAAAAUUGCAAUUGAUACUGACAGCCUUGAGUACAGUUGAGGUAGGCGGAAUUCGUGGUGUAGCGGUGAAAUGCUUAGAUAACACGGAGAACUCCGAUUGCGAAGGCAGCCUACUAAACUGCCACUGACAUUGAUGCUCGAAAGUGUGGGUAUCAAACAGGAUUAGAUACCCUGUAGUC